GUUGAUUCAAGUAAGUUCACAGCAAGAGAAAAUGGGGAAGCGAUUGAGAAGAGGCAGGUCCAUUUGCAGUUGUAAAUCUCCUCGUCCAAGCUAUCACGCCAAUCCUCGCUGCUCUUUCAACUGGUACGAAAAAGAUUUGUGGACGGAGAUUGCUAAGUCUCUGGACGGGAAAUCUCUGGUGAAGCUCGCGGCAACAUGCCGAUGGUUCCACAGCGUCAUAAUGGACGACAGCAUAUGGAGGUUCGCGUGCUUGCGUGAUCUUCAGGUCCCGGAGCCAGGGCACGUGGCCUUCAAUUGGAAUAAGCUCUAUGCUUCAGUAGUAGAUGGCAGUCACUCCUACACGUUUCGCGAGAAGGAGAAGCAUUUGGAUUGGAUGCGAAUUGGUGCAUUUUACAUUGAGUCAAAAGUAGCACUUUUGACUCAGAGACUCAAUUUGCCAUUGGAAAUCAGACAACAAAAUGCCACAGAGAAGAUGUUCCAAUCCUGCGGGGCUUCUGUGCUAAAUAACAUCAAAACAGGAAUUUGGAUAGCAGAUCUGCAGCUUGUUCGAUGCCCUGUUUGUGAACUCGAUAAAUGUGA
rnacentral:misc_RNA from 1 species